CCAAAGUGAAACGUUUGCGGCACCCACGCGACCACCAGUCUAGAUGAACUGUUUGUUGUUGCGUUUCAGUGAGUUAUGACCGGACCGCUGCCCCGUGCUACGAAACCGCCGUAUAUUAGCGGCUGAAAGCCAGCAAAUGAGAUCCGGGAAACAUUACAAUUACCAUCGCAAACAAUAUUCCGUCGUACGCAGCGAACCUAAGAAAACGGGGAGGAUCCUUGACGCUAGACCCAGUACCAGACCAACGUUACCACCAGAGAUAAAAUAAGUAAUUAAAAAUUCUUUACAGAAAUUUUGCAGGUCAGUCAGAACGAGCUUGUUAUCGUAGCCACCGGUAAGCAAGUAGUAUGCAGAAGGGGAGAAGCGUAUGCUUCUGAUAUCAGCAGCGUGAGGUUUGAAGCAUUGAACGGUCCGACCGCCCCGGAUGUCGAAGAGGACGCAGCUGCUGUCCUCGUGACCGGAUACCAGAAGACGUCCGGAUGGAUCGACGCAGAGAGCUGCUACCGGACUGCCAACCUGCAACGGGAUCAAAUGCUAAUCAGAUACGCGAUACCGAUUCCGUUCCAAAUUAUUUUCGAGUACGUCCGAUAAAAAUUCGAUCCUGAGUUGAAGAGAAAGAGCAAGAGUGAACUAGAGGAAGAAAGAAAUGCGAUUCGUGAAGGGGGAUGUAUGAUCGGUGCGAUUCAAAAACGUGGGUCGAAAUUUUAUCGGACGUCGAACGAAAAAACGAAACUUAAAAAACUGAAAAGUCGAUGUCGUCAUGCAUGCAUAUGCUGGGUUCGUUAUGAAUCAUAGAAAUCCUUUCCACAUUAUGUACGAAUUAUUUAUCGUUGAUCGAUGAUGCCUGGAUUUCUUAUGAAGUGAUAGAAUUAGUCAUAUGUAUUACUAAUACCUUUUCUAAUAACUUUUCUAAUAAAGACCGAUGACAGGAGGAAAGCGCUAAUUGAGAAAUAAAUUGACGAAUCUGAGAGUCAACUGUGAUACAAAAAUAUGAACUUGCGGAUCCACGAUAUAAAAGUCUCUGUUUUAGUUCAAUGAAGAGAAAAAUUGAAUUUAAAGAUACUUCAACUGUAAGAUUAGAGUCUGUUUAAAAUUAAAGAUAGUAAAGAUCAGUAAAUGUACAUGUAUAAGUUCACAUGUAUGUAUUAAAAAUAUAAUAUUACAUAGCGAUGUUACACAACAGAGAUACAGCAAACAGUUACUGUAAACGAUAGGGAUAAUAGAUUUCAAACAGACUGUCUUACAGAAAAUCAGCAACUUCAACAAAAUCUACUAAUACCGUUUGACAAUCAGAUUCCUC
rnacentral:misc_RNA from 1 species